rnacentral:rRNA from 1 species
CAAUGGCGUAAACAAAGGGAGGCGAAGCUGUGAGGCGGAGCGAAUCCCAAAAAUAACGUCCCAGUUCGGAUUGUAGUCUGCAACCCGACUACAUGAAGCUGGAAUCGCUAGUAAUCGCGAAUCAGCAUGUCGCGGUGAAUACGUUCCCGGGUCUUGUACACACCGCCCGUCACACCAUGGGAGUCAGUAACGCCCGAAGCCGGUGACCCAACCGAUAAGGAGGGAGCCGUCGAAGGUGGGACCGAUAACUGGGGUGAAGUCGUAACAAGGUACC